rnacentral:rRNA from 1 species
GACGAACGCUGGCGGCGUGCCUAAUACAUGCAAGUCGAACGCUGUUGCGAACACGUGAGUAUCGCGUAUGGACCUUCCUCAUAGCGGGGGACAACCAUUGGAAACGAUAGCUAACACCGCAUACUGUGAGAUGGACCUGGGUUGUAUGAGCUAGUGGGUGGGGUAAAGGUUCACCAAGGCGACGAUACCUAGCGGACCUGGGAGGGUGACCGGCCACACUGGAACUGAGACACGGCCCAGACUCCUACGGGAGGCAGCAGUAGGGAAUUUUCGGCAAUGGACGGAAGCCUGACCGAGCAAUGCCGCGUGAGUGAAGAAGGUUUUCGGAUCGUAAAGUACUUUCAGCGGGGAGGCGUUACCCGCAGAAGAAGCACCGGCUAACUCCGUGCCAGCAGCCGCGGUAAUAC